GAUGAACGCUGGCGGCGUGCCUGAUACAUGCAAGUCGAGCGAAUGGAUUGAGAGCUUGCUCUUAUGAAGUUAGCGGCGGACGGGUGAGUAACACGUGGGUAACCUGCCCAUAAGACUGGGAUAACUCCGGGAAACCGGGGCUAAUACCGGAUAACAUUUUGAACCGCAUGGUUCGAAAUUGAAAGGCGGCUUCGGCUGUCACUUAUGGAUGGACCCGCGUCGCAUUAGCUAGUUGGUGAGGUAACGGCUCACCAAGGCAACGAUGCGUAGCCGACCUGAGAGGGUGAUCGGCCACACUGGGACUGAGACACGGCCCAGACUCCUACGGGAGGCAGCAGUAGGGAAUCUUCCGCAAUGGACGAAAGUCUGACGGAGCAACGCCGCGUGAGUGAUGAAGGCUUUCGGUUCGUAAAACUCUGUUGUUAGGGAAGAACAAGUGCUAGUUGAAUAAGCUGGCACCUUGACGGUACCUAACCAGAAAGCCACGGCUAACUACGUGCCAGCAGCCGCAGUAA
rnacentral:rRNA from 1 species